CCCUUAGAUGUUCUGGGCCGCACGCGUGCUACACUGAUGUAUUCAACGAGUCUAAAACCUGGUCUGAUAGGGCUGGGUAAUCUUUUGAAAGUGCAUCGUGAUUGGGAUAGAUGAUUGCAAUUCUUCAUCUUCAACGAGGAAUGCCUAGUAAACGCAAGUCAUCAGCUUGCAUUGAUUACGUCCCUGCCCUUUGUACACACCGCCCGUCGCUCCUACCGAUUGAAUGAUCCGAUGAAUACCAUGGAUUGAGAGUACGAAUAGGUUCGCUUAUUUCUGCUGCUCGAGAAGUGGAGUAAAUCUUAUCAUUUAGAGGAAGGAGAAGUCGUAACA
rnacentral:rRNA from 1 species